UACGUAGGGUGCGAGCGUUGUCCGGAAUUAUUGGGCGUAAAGGGCUCGUAGGCGGUCUGUCGCGUCGGUAGUGAAAACUCAGGGCUUAACCCUGAGCCUGCUUCCGAUACGGGCAGACUAGAGGUAUGCAGGGGAGAAUGGAAUUCCUGGUGUAGCGGUGGAAUGCGCAGAUAUCAGGAGGAACACCGAUGGCGAAGGCAGAUCUCUGGGCCGUAACUGACGCUGAGGAGCGAAAGCGUGGGGAGCGAACAGG
rnacentral:rRNA from 1 species